UAGGUCUAUAACCAUGAACCAGUCUUUUUGAUGUAAGAGGUGGAUGAUGGAUUCUAAUGUGACCUGGUAAGUAUUCAGAAGCUGGAGAUCUAGGAUGGGUCUGAUGCCUCCAUCCUUCUUCAGGACUGCAAAGUAGCGAAAGUAGAACCCAUGGGAUGUCUGAAAAUGGUAUGCGUUCAAUAACCUGCUUUUGAAGAAGAGACGAUAUCUCCUCUUCUAGAGCAGGUGCGUAAGAUGUGAAUAUUAUGUGAUCGACAGGGGGAAGAUCUAUAAACUCGAGAAGGUAGCCGAACUGACUAAUAGCAGGUGUCUUUUGUAAUUAGAGACCAGUUGUGGAGAAACGGGGUUAACCUGGGUUCAUGAUUGAGAAUGGAAGGAUUCAAAAUGAUAGUCAAAGAUACUGCUUUCCUUUCUUAGCAGGUUGAUGGUAGGAUUGUCGGCGAUGGGUGGAAGCCUGAGACCAAAUAGCAACACCAGAAGAGGAAGCUUGUGAGGGUCGCCCUUGAGGUGGUGGUUCGUAAGAAUGACAGUUGUUUUGAGACUGAAAAGGACGUCAAGGUCGAGGAUUUUUUGGACAUUGACCGCGAUCCUGAUGGUUUCUUAGCAGACUUUUCUGAAGAUUUGGAGGAUGGAAAAAGUGGAAAAAAAGGACUUGACGACAACUGACAACUCUAAAGUUCUCCAAGUACGCAGGAUUCUCAUGAUUUCUCAAAAGUAAAACUUAUCU